CCUACGGGUGGCAGCAGUCGAGAAUCAUUCACAAUGGGGGAAACCCUGAUGGAGCGACGCCGCGUGGGGGAAUGAAGGUCUGCGGAUUGUAAACCCCUGUCAUGUGGGAACAAAUUAAAAAGAUAGUACCACAAGAGGAAGAGACGGCUAACUCUGUGCCAGCAGCCGCGGUAAUACAGAGGUCUCAAGCGUUGUUCGGAAUGACUGGGCGUAACGGGUGCGUAGGCGGUUUCGUAAGUCGUGUGUGAAAGGCGCGGGCUCAACCCGCGGACGGCACCUGAUACUGCGAGACUAGAGUAAUGGAGGGGUAACCGGAUUUCUCGGUGUAGCAGUGAAAUGCGUAGCUAUCGAGAGGAACACUCGUGGCGAAGGCGGGUUCCUGGACAUUACCUGACGCUGAGGCACGAAGGCCCGUGCAGCGAACUGGAUUAGAUACCCGUGUAGUC
rnacentral:rRNA from 1 species